UGGGGAAUCUUCCGCAAUGGACGAAAGUCUGACGGAGCAACGCCGCGUGAACGAUGACGGCCUUCGGGUUGUAAAGUUCUGUUAUACGGGACGAAUGGUACGACGGUCAAUACCCGUCGUAAGUGACGGUACCGUAAGAGAAAGCCACGGCUAACUACGUGCCAGCAGCCGCGGUAAUACGUAGGUCCCGAGCGUUGUCCGGAUUUAUUGGGCGUAAAGCGAGCGCAGGUGGUUUAUUAAGUCUGGUGUAAAAGGCAGUGGCUCAACCAUUGUAUGCAUUGGAAACUGGUAGACUUGAGUGCAGGAGAGGAGAGUGGAAUUCCUAGUGUAGCGGUGAAAUGCGUAGAUAUUAGGAGGAACACCAGUGGCGAAAGCGGCUUUCUGGACGACAACUGACGCUGAGGCGCGAAAGCCAGGGGAGCAAACGGGAUUAGAUACCCCGGUAGUCCUGGCCGUAAACGAUGGGUACUAGGUGUAGGAGGUAUCGACCCCUUCUGUGCCGGAGUUAACGCAAUAAGUAUCCCGCCUGGGGAGUACGGCCGCAAGGCUG
rnacentral:rRNA from 1 species